GACUGCAGCGCCUGACGGGACAGUGCAACGGCGCUGCACCUGCGUGAGUGGGGGCGAUCGUCUCUGGACCGGACCGGACCGGACCGGAACCGCCCGGGACACCGCACCAGGGCCCGUCUCUGGACCGGACCGGACCCGAACCGCCCGGGACACCGCACCAGGGCCCGUCUCUGGACCGGACCGGACCCGAACCGCCCGGGACACCGCACCAGGGCCCGUCUCUGGACCGGACCGGACCCGAACCGCCCGGGACACCGCACCAGGGCCCGUCUCUGGACCGGACCGGACCCGAACCGCCCGGGACACCGCACCAGGGCCCGUCUCUGGACCGGACCGGACCCGCCCGGGACACCGCACCAGGGCCCGUCUCUGGACCGGACCGGACCGGACCCGAUCUGCCCCCGCCCCGGACACCCCACGUGGGCCCGUCUCUGGACUGAACCGGAACCAACCUCCCAGCACCCCGGUCACCCCGCAUGGGGCCAUUCGCCUCUGCACCAGCCUGGAACCGACCCCCUAAUGCCCCGGGAACCCCCCGUGGGCCCGUCUCCAUAACGGACUGAAACAGACCUGCCACCACCCCAGGCCCCCUGUGUGGGCCCAUCUCUGUAACUGAGCGGAACCGACUUCCCACGCCCGGGCACCCCGUGUGGGCCCGUCUCUGUAACAGCAGAACCAACUUCACCCACUUCCAGUGCCCCAGACGUCAUGUCUGGCCCGAUCUCAGUAAUGGACCAGAACCAACCUUAUCCCUGCUCCAGGUGCCCCAGAUGUCAAGCCUGGCUCCAUCUCUGCAAUGGACCUUUAUCAACCUCCUCUUGAUCCCAAUAUCUUUAAUAUUAUGCCUGUUCUCAUCUGUAUAAUGGACAUGGACCAACCUGGCCCAUUUCUAAUCCUGCCAUACAAUAUUUUUUCCCCCAGGAUAAACUAGAGAGAGUUAUAAGUCUGUGAGCAGCCUCCAGAGAAGUGAUAUCCCUGCUCCAUCCUGAUUAGAACAACCUCCAUGAAAACAGGAGAUCACAACAUGCCAUGCACUACUUUUAACAAAUGACCUAUAGAGGCAAUGGAUCACAGCAUAUCAUGCUCCAUCUUGACCUAAUCUGCCUUUCAUCUAUCUACCUAUAGUAUUUCUAAGGUGCCCCUUUACACCCAAGCUUGACUCUACGAAAGCAAGGAAAAUUCUAUACAACCCUGUCAUCCCAUGUUAAUGGAACAUAUUGAUUAAGAAUUAAUAUGCUCAGAAAUCUGGAAAUCCACAACAAAUGUUUUCACAGCAAAUGCACAUAUACUGUAAAGCAUAAAGUUAAUAGCUGAUACAGAAAUACAGAAUAUUACAUAAAUUGAAGGGGACAGAGUAUAAUUGCUGUGCAACUAUAAUUUAUUCUUCUGACCUUUGAACAACAAAUUCUCCACUAGAACAUUGUUUUAUUUGCAGCGAAUGCAUAAAAUAAUAGUGUUCUCUGAGUUUUUGGCUUUGUUGAGACAUAAUCAACUGUUUUUUGUUUUGGAACAGGUAUGCAGCAAAAUGCAAAGUGAUUAAAGAGAGAGUAAAAAAAACCCAGGAAAGUGAAAAAAUAAUAUCAACAUCUGGAGUUAGUAAAAGCAGGACAGGAUCUCAGCAGAUGUUCCAGGAUGGCAUAUGCUAUAGCUGAAAAAAUUAAGAGGCAGCUCUUCAAAACUGGGACUAGAUCUUGCUGAUAUUUGGAGCUCUGAUGGUAACAAAAUAGUGAAAUGAAGCACUGAAGAUACUCCCUGCAAAGAUGACUUGAAAAGAAACAACUUCAAAGAACAGAGACUUUGUGAUAGUUCUUCAGCUUCCAAGGUUAAAGAUUUGAGGGAAAAUUUCAUGCUGGCAAAGAUGACUGCAAGAUCUACAUUUUUGUUGCCUUUUACUUCUUUUAAGUUGAUGACACUACCUCUGUUCCAUUGAUUCUCUGAUUUUCUGAGCCAAUGCCACCAAAAGCAGCAUAUCCAAACAAUCACUGAGAGAAAGGGGCAGCUUCAGAAAGGGCUGACUCAGCAGACUGAGACACCAGCUGGCUGGUAAGAGUAAACAUGGGGAAAAAAAGAACAAUCAUUUAAAAUCUUUUAAGGAUGGGAUAUAGGAAAGAAAGGAGAAGAGGAAAUUUGCCCUAAAUCUACAUUUAACUAACAGUGAAUUUUGAGAGCCCUCAGCAAAACAUGCUGAAAUGUCAUCAAUAUAAUUGGGAGAUUUGAUUUGGAUAAGCAUCCAAAUGUUUGGCAGCCUAUGCAAACUUUGACCAGAUCUAUGUAGUCUCCUUUUUCCUCCAUCUUGGUUUGUGCAACCCAUCUUCUAGUUACAUUCUAAAUCCAUUCUCUAAUCCCUGACCCCUGCCUGUUCCCAUACUUUCUGGCCAAGGCAAUGUAUUUUAUUUUCAACCAACCUUCUCAAAGUUUUAGCUUUUACAUCCACAGUUCAACUGUCCAUUAUAUUUAUAUAAACCUCUAACUUCAUCAGUGUUAGUCAACUCUUGUUAGUUUUGCUAAUGAUGACCAACUAUGAAACACUAAGUUGCCUUAAAAAAAAUUGUUUGAGUAUUCUACGGUAAUUCUC